UUCAGUUCUUCCUUGCCGGUUAUUAAUGUGUGUUUGUUAAACCUAUGUUAAACCUGUGUGCUUUUGUCAUCAUCUUCUGGAUUUCCAUUAAAUGAUAUUAUUAUUAUCAUAGACUUUAUCAUCUUGAUGGCAGCAGCGUGACAGAAUAACUGGCCUACAAAAGUAGAGAUCACUCCCUUGAGGACCACACUAGAGACCUUGUGGAUAUUUCAACUUUAAUCCACUACCCGGACAGCAGCCUCUGCUUUUUCUUCAUCUCAGGACUGAACAACACUGCAAAGGCAAAACGCUCAAUGGAAGGUCCUCAAGGGUACUCCUCCACGUUUGUGGGGUGGGUGCGUGGACUGUAGUUGAAAACUUCUGCUCUACAUCACCCUGGCUUAUGGGCUCUCCGUCUCCAACUCGGUCUCCUCUCCCACCUGUAUAUCAGAUGUUAAACCCUUUGAAGGGAUGAGCUAUUCUGAAUGGAAUUCAGGGCCUGUGUGUUAUUGUCUUAAUUUUCUGGAUUUCCAUUAAAGGAUAUUAUCAUCAUC